GAUUAAGUUAUUAAGGGCGCACGGUGGAUGCCUUGGCACUAGAAGCCGAUGAAGGACGUUACUAACGACGAUAUGCUUUGGGGAGCUGUAAGUAAGCUUUGAUCCAGAGAUUUCCGAAUGGGGAAACCCAGCAUGAGUUAUGUCAUGUUAUCGAUAUGUGAAUACAUAGCAUAUCAGAAGGCACACCCGGAGAACUGAAACAUCUUAGUACCCGGAGGAAGAGAAAGAAAAUUCGAUUCCCUUAGUAGCGGCGAGCGAAACGGGAAGAGCCCAAACCAACAAGCUUGCUUGUUGGGGUUGUAGGACACUCUAUACGGAGUUACAAAGGACGACAUUAGACGAAUCAUCUGGAAAGAUGAAUCAAAGAAGGUAAUAAUCCUGUAGUCGAAAAUGUUGUCUCUCUUGAGUGGAUCCUGAGUACGACGGAGCACGUGAAAUUCCGUCGGAAUCUGGGAGGACCAUCUCCUAAGGCUAAAUACUCUCUAGUGACCGAUAGUGAACCAGUACCGUGAGGGAAAGGUGAAAAGCACCCCGGAAGGGGAGUGAAAUAGAACCUGAAACCGUGUGCUUACAAGUAGUCAGAGCCCGUUAAUGGGUGAUGGCGUGCCUUUUGUAGAAUGAACCGGCGAGUUACGAUUUGAUGCAAGGUUAAGCAGUAAAUGUGGAGCCGUAGCGAAAGCGAGUCUGAAUAGGGCGUUUAGUAUUUGGUCGUAGACCCGAAACCAGGUGAUCUACCCUUGGUCAGGUUGAAGUUCAGGUAACACUGAAUGGAGGACCGAACCGACUUACGUUGAAAAGUGAGCGGAUGAACUGAGGGUAGCGGAGAAAUUCCAAUCGAACCUGGAGAUAGCUGGUUCUCUCCGAAAUAGCUUUAGGGCUAGCCUCAAGUGAUGAUUAUUGGAGGUAGAGCACUGUUUGGACGAGGGGCCCCUCUCGGGUUACCGAAUUCAGACAAACUCCGAAUGCCAAUUAAUUUAACUUGGGAGUCAGAACAUGGGUGAUAAGGUCCGUGUUCGAAAGGGAAACAGCCCAGACCACCAGCUAAGGUCCCAAAAUAUAUGUUAAGUGGAAAAGGAUGUGGCGUUGCCCAGACAACUAGGAUGUUGGCUUAGAAGCAGCCAUCAUUUAAAGAGUGCGUAAUAGCUCACUAGUCGAGUGACACUGCGCCGAAAAUGUACCGGGGCUAAACAUAUUACCGAAGCUGUGGAUUGUCCUUUGGACAAUGGUAGGAGAGCGUUCUAAGGGCGUUGAAGCAUGAUCGUAAGGACAUGUGGAGCGCUUAGAAGUGAGAAUGCCGGUGUGAGUAGCGAAAGACGGGUGAGAAUCCCGUCCACCGAUUGACUAAGGUUUCCAGAGGAAGGCUCGUCCGCUCUGGGUUAGUCGGGUCCUAAGCUGAGGCCGACAGGCGUAGGCGAUGGAUAACAGGUUGAUAUUCCUGUACCACCUAUAAUCGUUUUAAUCGAUGGGGGGACGCAGUAGGAUAGGCGAAGCGUGCGAUUGGAUUGCACGUCUAAGCAGUAAGGCUGAGUAUUAGGCAAAUCCGGUACUCGUUAAGGCUGAGCUGUGAUGGGGAGAAGACAUUGUGUCUUCGAGUCGUUGAUUUCACACUGCCGAGAAAAGCCUCUAGAUAGAAAAUAGGUGCCCGUACCGCAAACCGACACAGGUAGUCAAGAUGAGAAUUCUAAGGUGAGCGAGCGAACUCUCGUUAAGGAACUCGGCAAAAUGACCCCGUAACUUCGGGAGAAGGGGUGCUCUUUAGGGUUAACGCCCAGAAGAGCCGCAGUGAAUAGGCCCAAGCGACUGUUUAUCAAAAACACAGGUCUCUGCUAAACCGUAAGGUGAUGUAUAGGGGCUGACGCCUGCCCGGUGCUGGAAGGUUAAGAGGAGUGGUUAGCUUCUGCGAAGCUACGAAUCGAAGCCCCAGUAAACGGCGGCCGUAACUAUAACGGUCCUAAGGUAGCGAAAUUCCUUGUCGGGUAAGUUCCGACCCGCACGAAAGGCGUAACGAUUUGGGCACUGUCUCAACGAGAGACUCGGUGAAAUCAUAGUACCUGUGAAGAUGCAGGUUACCCGCGACAGGACGGAAAGACCCCGUGGAGCUUUACUGUAGCCUGAUAUUGAAAUUCGGCACAGCUUGUACAGGAUAGGUAGGAGCCUUUGAAACGUGAGCGCUAGCUUACGUGGAGGCGCUGGUGGGAUACUACCCUAGCUGUGUUGGCUUUCUAACCCGCACCACUUAUCGUGGUGGGAGACAGUGUCAGGCGGGCAGUUUGACUGGGGCGGUCGCCUCCUAAAAGGUAACGGAGGCGCUCAAAGGUUCCCUCAGAAUGGUUGGAAAUCAUUCAUAGAGUGUAAAGGCAUAAGGGAGCUUGACUGCGAGACCUACAAGUCGAGCAGGGUCGAAAGACGGACUUAGUGAUCCGGUGGUUCCGCAUGGAAGGGCCAUCGCUCAACGGAUAAAAGCUACCCCGGGGAUAACAGGCUUAUCUCCCCCAAGAGUUCACAUCGACGGGGAGGUUUGGCACCUCGAUGUCGGCUCAUCGCAUCCUGGGGCUGUAGUCGGUCCCAAGGGUUGGGCUGUUCGCCCAUUAAAGCGGUACGCGAGCUGGGUUCAGAACGUCGUGAGACAGUUCGGUCCCUAUCCGUCGUGGGCGUAGGAAAUUUGAGAGGAGCUGUCCUUAGUACGAGAGGACCGGGAUGGACAUACCUCUGGUGUACCAGUUGUCGUGCCAACGGCAUAGCUGGGUAGCUAUGUGUGGACGGGAUAAGUGCUGAAAGCAUCUAAGCA
rnacentral:rRNA from 1 species